rnacentral:siRNA from 1 species
UUUGAGGUCUCUAUAGCUAUUUC